rnacentral:rRNA from 1 species
UACGGGGGGGAGCAAGCGUUGUUCGGAUUUACUGGGCGUAAAGGGCGCGAGGCGGUCGUGACAAGUCACUUGUGAAAUCUCCGGGCUUAACUCGGAACGGUCAAGUGAUACUGUCGGACUAGAGUACAGAAGGGGCAACUGGGAAUUCUCGGGUGUAGCGGGUGAAAAUGGCGUAGGAUAGUCGAAGGAGGGAAAUCACCCUGGCGGGCGAAAGGGCGGGGGUUGCCUG